rnacentral:rRNA from 1 species
AUUGAACGCUGGCGGCAGGCCUAACACAUGCAAGUCGAACGAGUGGCGGACGGGUGAGUAAUGUCUGGGAAACUGCCUGAUGGAGGGGGAUAACUACUGGAAACGGUAGCUAAUACCGCAUACAAUCAGCUGUUCCCCUAUGGGCUUCGCUCGUUGGUGGGGUAACGGCUCACCAAGGCGACGAUCCCUCGCUGGUCUGAGAGGAUGACCAGCCACACUGGGACUGAGACACGGUCCAGACUCAUACGGGAGGCAGCAGUGGGGAAGAGUGCACAAUGGGCGCAAGCCUGAUGCAGCCAUGCCGCGUGUAUGAAGAAGGCCUUAGGGUUGUAAAGUACUUUCAGCGGGGAGGCGGGACCCGAAGAAGAAGCACCGGCUAACUCCGUGCCAGCAGCCGCGGUAAGAC